rfam:Alligator mississippiensis ScZkoYb_4, whole genome shotgun sequence.
UGACUUACCUGGCAGGAGAGAUACCAUGAUCCAGCAGGUGGUUUUCCCAGGGCAAGGCUUGCCCCUUGCACUCUGGGCUUGCUGCCCCUGUGAUUUUCCCAAACGUGGGAAACUUGACUGUAUAAUUUGUGGUAGUGAGGAACUGUGUUUGCGCUCUAUUAAA